rnacentral:rRNA from 1 species
AUUGAACGCUGGCGGCAGGCCUAACACAUGCAGGUCGAGCGGAUGAAGAGAGCUUGCUCUCUGAUUUAGCGGCGGACGGGUGAGUAAUGCCUAGGAAUCUGCCUGGUAGUGGGGGAUAACGUUCCGAAAGGAACGCUAAUACCGCAUACGUCCUACGGGAGAAAGCAGGGGACCUUCGGGCCUUGCGCUAUCAGAUGAGCCUAGGUCGGAUUAGCUAGUUGGUGGGGUAAAGGCUCACCAAGGCGACGAUCCGUAACUGGUCUGAGAGGAUGAUCAGUCACACUGGAACUGAGACACGGUCCAGACUCCUACGGGAGGCAGCAGUGGGGAAUAUUGGACAAUGGGCGAAAGCCUGAUCCAGCCAUGCCGCGUGUGUGAAGAAGGUCUUCGGAUUGUAAAGCACUUUAAGUUGGGAGGAAGGGUUGUAACCUAAUACGUUGCAAUUUUGACGUUACCGAC